AAUGAACGUUGGCGGCAUGGAUUAGGCAUGCAAGUCGGGGGAAUCCCAGCGAUGGGGGAACCGGCGUAAGGGGCAGUAAGGCAUGGGUACCUACCUUGGGGUUCGGGAUAGCCAUCAGAGAUGGUGGGUAAUACCGGAUGACGUCGUGAGACCAAAGAUUUAUCGCCCUUAGAGGGGCCCAUGUGAUAUUAGCUAGUUGGUGGGGUAACGGCCCACCAAGGCGAAGAUGUCUAUCGGGUGUGAGAGCACGACCCGCGCCACUCGCACUGUGACACUGGGGAGACACCUACGGGUGGCUGCAGUCGAGGAUGUUCGGCAAUGAGCGCAAGCUUGACCGAGCGAUGCCGCGUGAGCGAUGAAGGCCUUCGGGUUGUAAAGCUCUUUAGUGGGGGAGAAAAGCCGCAAGGUGUGAUCUAUCCCAAAAAUAAGCACGGGCUAAGUUCGUGCCAGCCGCCGCCGUAA
rnacentral:rRNA from 1 species